UGGCUCAGGGACGAACGCUGGCGGCGUGCCUAAUACAUGCAAGUCGAGCGGACAGAAGGGAGCUUGCUCCCGGAUGUUAGCGGCGGACGGGUGAGUAACACGUGGGUAACCUGCCUGUAAGACUGGGAUAACUCCGGGAAACCGGAGCUAAUACCGGAUAGUUCCUUGAACCGCAUGGUUCAAGGAUGAAAGACGGUUUCGGCUGUCACUUACAGAUGGACCCGCGGCGCAUUAGCUAGUUGGUGAGGUAACGGCUCACCAAGGCGACGAUGCGUAGCCGACCUGAGAGGGUGAUCGGCCACACUGGGACUGAGACACGGCCCAGACUCCUACGGGAGGCAGCAGUAGGGAAUCUUCCGCAAUGGACGAAAGUCUGACGGAGCAACGCCGCGUGAGUGAUGAAGGUUUUCGGAUCGUAAAGCUCUGUUGUUAGGGAAGAACAAGUGCAAGAGUAACUGCUUGCACCUUGACGGUACCUAACCAGAAAGCCACGGCUAACUACGUGCCAGCAGCCGCGGUAAUACGUAGGUGGCAAGCGUUGUCCGGAAUUAUUGGGCGUAAAGGGCUCGCAGGCGGUUUCUUAAGUCUGAUGUGAAAGCCCCCGGCUCAACCGGGGGGGGUCAACGGAAACGGGGAGACAUCGCGUGCAGGGGCGGCGAGCGGAAUUUCACGCGUAGCGGUGAAACGCGUAGAGAUGUGGAGGAACACCAGUGGCGAAGGCGACUCUCUGGUCUGUAACUGACGCUGAGGAGCGAAAGCGUGGGGAGCGAACAGGAUUAGAUACCCUGGUAGUCCACGCCGUAAACGAUGAGUGCUAAGUGUUAGGGGGUUUCCGCCCCUUAGUGCUGCAGCUAACGCAUUAAGCACUCCGCCUGGGGAGUACGGUCGCAAGACUGAAACUCAAAGGAAUUGACGGGGGCCCGCACAAGCGGUGGAGCAUGUGGUUUAAUUCGAAGCAACGCGAAGAACCUUACCAGGUCUUGACAUCCUCUGACAACCCUAGAGAUAGGGCUUUCCCUUCGGGGACAGAGUGACAGGUGGUGCAUGGUUGUCGUCAGCUCGUGUCGUGAGAUGUUGGGUUAAGUCCCGCAACGAGCGCAACCCUUGAUCUUAGUUGCCAGCAUUCAGUUGGGCACUCUAAGGUGACUGCCGGUGACAAACCGGAGGAAGGUGGGGAUGACGUCAAAUCAUCAUGCCCCUUAUGACCUGGGCUACACACGUGCUACAAUGGACAGAACAAAGGGCUGCGAGACCGCAAGGUUUAGCCAAUCCCACAAAUCUGUUCUCAGUUCGGAUCGCAGUCUGCAACUCGACUGCGUGAAGCUGGAAUCGCUAGUAAUCGCGGAUCACAUGCCGGNGGGAAAAAAAAGUUCCCCGGGCCUUUGUACACACCCGCCCGUCACACCAACGAGAGUUUGUCACACCCCGAAGUCCGUGAAGUAACCUUUAUGGAGGCAGCCGCCGAAG
rnacentral:rRNA from 1 species